rnacentral:rRNA from 1 species
UGGGGAAUUUUGGACAAUGGUGGAAACCCUGAUCCAGCCAUCCCGCGUGUGCGAUGAAGGCCUUCGGGUUGUAAAGCACUUUUGGCAGGAAAGAAACGUCAUGGGUUAAUACCCCGUGAAACUGACGGUACCUGCAGAAUAAGCACCGGCUAACUACGUGCCAGCAGCCGCGGUAAUACGUAGGGUGCAAGCGUUAAUCGGAAUUACUGGGCGUAAAGCGUGCGCAGGCGGUUCGGAAAGAAAGAUGUGAAAUCCCAGAGCUCAACUUUGGAACUGCAUUUUUAACUACCGGGCUAGAGUGUGUCAGAGGGAGGUGGAAGUCCGCGUGUAGCAGUGAAAUGCGUAGAUAUGCGGAGGAACACCGAUGGCGAAGGCAGCCUCCUGGGAUAACACUGACGCUCAUGCACGAAAGCGUGGGGAGCAAACAGG